ACCAGGCAGUUUUGGAGUCUGAGUCAGAGAGAGAUUCAGUCGGGAGCAGACGGCUGAACUGGAAACCAGCAAGAGAAGCCGAAGGAAAGAAGUCAGAAAAGCUGCUGCAGAGAGAGACAGAGAAAAGAAAACUGGAGCAGAGCAGAGCUGACUGACCAGGAGCUGAACAGCGAUUAAAGAAGAAGACUAAAAGAUUUAUCACAGCAGCAGCAGUGAUAUAAAGGGAUACCAAUGAAUUUAUAAAGUUUAUAUCCUCAAAUGCAGUUCCAGGAGGUGAACCCCACCCAGUCCAUCACAGAAGUCCCAUUGUCAGUACCUUUCAUCACUCCACUGGUAAAAUAGCAUCCUGAAUUCCUUCUGAAUGUAUAGAAUAACAGUCUGAAAUCUGUCCCUGGAGGGCCUCGGCGUUUCACGGCUGGUUCGUUCAUCUUAAUGCCACUACAAAGAAGAAAACGAGAACGGAAGGGAGGAGGAUGGAAAUGCAGCCAAGAGGGCAGCGGAUCAACCGCUUUGGUGGGGUCCCUGCAAAGCGCACUUCCCCCAGAGGAGAAGCAAUGGCAUUCCUUGGAAUGGGCGCUGGUUCCAGGAAAGAGCAGUGCUGGACCAACAAGGACGAAAGAGGGAAGCUCUUGGGGUACUGGUAUCCACUGAGAGAGGGGGACAGGAUCAACAAGGCCACAGAGCAACAUUCAGCCCUUGGAAAAAUACUGCUCUUCAAGGGUCCCCCACAGAGUACAGUGGUUUGAGCAUGUAAUAGGGUUGCCUAGAGGCUCCAAUUAGGAUCAGAUCCAAUUUGUUCUAGGCACUGCACAUACCUGCUAAGAGACCACCCCUACUCCAAAGAACUUAUGUUCUAAAGAGAUGAGACAAACAAAGGGUGGGAGAAGGCAAGUGUAGUUAUUCCCAUUGUACAGAUGGGGAAACUGAGGCAAAGAGGGAUUAAGUGACUUGCCAAAAGCCAUGCAAAGUGGUGGUGGUAGAGCCAGAAAAUGAAUCCAGGGUUCCUAAUUCUGAGCCUGGUACUUUAUGCUUCAACAUUUAAUUUAGUGCUGUGAAACAAGACGGACUGACAGCCCCAAAGACCAAAGUGUUCCACUGAGCCAAAGGAUGAUGGCAGUGCCAAUUUGCCCCAUUGGGGCCACUCUUCGUAGCCCAUUCAGUCAGUUGGGCUCCCUGUGCCACUGCCUGAAAGAGGCCAAUUACUGUAAAUUGAUGUGGGCACCUCUCUAUCAAAAGCUAGACACAGUGCACGAGUUCAUGUCACAAGCAAUGUAUCAAUAGCCAGCAGAAUACAGGUGUCCAUCGACCAGUGAACCACAGGUCAGAGUGUGCCUCCAGGGCACCACAGCAAAUACCCUUUAAGUGUAGGUGGCAAGCAGAGGCUCAAGUUGAUUGGUGGAGGAGGGUUCUGAUCGGUGAGAUACAAAAUAAUAGCCCACCCAAGUUAGAACUUACUGCUAAGGUGCUUAACCAGCAACAGUAAUAAUUCCUGGCAGAGGUGUGUCAUUGAUACACCAAGGAGGAAAAUGCACUGUGAUAGGUGAAUCUAAAAGCCCGACGCUGCCAAAACCUCCGGAUUCAGCAUCCAAAGAAAUAUUGGCAUUUCUCUGUAAAAUGCAGGGUGCUGGGAAUUGUAUAACAAGACAGAUAUGUACAAUACACCACAGUCCAUGGGGUUUCAUUUUUGUAAGGAAACACACUGACCUUGGCUGUACAGCUAAAAAUCCGCUAAGCACAGCGAUAAACCCAAAAUAUCACUUAUUUUUAGAAAUAUUCAUCAUCUUGAUGCUUAGUCACAGUUGUAAGCAUGUCAUAUUCCCUUCUAGAUAAGCACAUAUACUCAUAAUCACAUGCUCUUCUCCUGCAUGCUUCCCUCCUCUUAAUUCACUUUCUCACUGUUGUCUCAUCUGCACAAAGGUCCAGUUGUACAAAAAUGUAUGCAUCUGUUUAACUUAAUGCACACGAGCAGUCCAUUGAAGUCAUUGGGACUACUUAUGUAUGAUUGUAUGAUUUUGCAGGAUGACCAGCUUAGAUUGUAAGGUCUUCAGGACAGAGACUCAGUCUUUAUCUAUAUUGUAAAAUAUAUGCCAAGCACAUCUAUGAUUCUAUAUAGGUUAUAAAUGAUAACGUUAAUAAUUAUUACUUCUUGUUGCAGAGUCUAGGUAGUAUAGUCCAAACAGCAUUGCCUAUGCUAAAAAGAACUAGGAUUAGAACUACCAUUACAUUAACAGAUUUUAAAGUCAGAAGAUACAUUUUUAUCAAUGACUUGGAAGUAGGGCUGACAAUUAAUCGCAGUUAACUCAAGCGAUUAACUAAAAAAAAUUAAUCACGAUUAAAAAGAUUAAUCGCGAUUAAUCGCAGCUUUAAUCACACUGUUAAACAAUAGAAUACCAAUUGAAAUUUAUUAAAUAUUUUGGAUGUUUUUCCACAUUUUCAAAUAUAUUUAUUUCAAUAACAUAGAAUACAAAGUAUACAGUGCUCAUUUUAUAUUAUUUUUAUUAAAAAUAUUUGCAUUGUAAAAAUGAUAAAAUAGUAUUUUUCAAUUCACGUCAUACAUGUACUGUAGUGCAUUCUCUUUAUCAUGAAAGUACAACUUACAAAUGUAGAUUUUUUUUGUUACAUAACUGCACUCAAAAACAAAACAAUAUUAAACUUUAUCAUCUACAAGUCCACUCAGUUCUAGUUCUUGUUCAGCCAAUCGCUAAGACAAACAAGUUUGUUUAUAUUUAUGGGAGAUAAUGCUCCCUGCUUCUUAUUUACAAUGACACCUGAAAGUGAGAACGUGGCACUUUUGUAGCCGGCAUUGCAAGAUAUUUAUGUGCCAGAUAUGCUAAACAUUUGUAUGCCCCUUCAUGGUUUGGCCACCAUUCCAGAGGAUAUGCUUCCAUGCUGAUGAUGCUCGUUAACAAAAUUAUGCAUUAAUUAAAAAUUUGUGACUGAACUCCUUGGGGGAGAAUUAUAUGUCUCCUGCUCUGUUUUACCCACAUUCUGCCAUGUAUUUCAUAUUAUAGCAAUCUCAGAUGAUGACCCAGCACAUGUUGUUCAUUUGUCAUUGCAGAUUUGACAAAAAGCAAAGAAGGUACCAAUGUGAGAUUUCUAAAAAUAGCUACAGCACUUGACCCAAGGUUUAAGAAUCUGAAGUGCCUUCCAAAAUCUGAGAGGGACUAGGUGUGGAGCAUGCUUUCAGAAGUCUUAAAAGAGCAACACUCCAAUGCGAAAACAACAGAUCCUGAAUCUCCAAAAAAGAAAAUCAACCACCUGCCAGUGGCAUCUGACUCAGAUGAUGAAAAUGAGCAUGCAUCGGUCCACACUACCUUGAUUCAUUAUCAAGCAGAACCUGUCAUCAACAUGGACAUAUGUCCUCUGGAAUGGUGAUUGAAGCAUGAAGGGACAUAUGAAUCUUUAGCGCAUCUGGCACAUAAAUAUCUUGCAACACCAGCUACAACAGUGCCAUGCGAAUGCCUGUUCUGACUUUCAGGUGACAUUGUAUACAAGAAGCGGGCAGCAUUAUCUCCCGCAAAUGUGAACAAACUUGUUUGAGUGAUUGGCUGCACAAGAAGUAGGACUGAGUGGACUUGUAGGGGCUACAGUUUUAUACUGCAUUAAAAAACAAAGUAGUUAUUUUUUGUACAUAAUUCUUCAUUUGUAAUUUCAACUUUCAUGACAUAGAGGUUGCACUACAGUACUUGUAAUGGGAGAAUUGAAAAAUACUAUUUAUUUUAUCAUUUUUACAGUGCAAAUAUUUGUAUUCAAAAAUAAAUAUAAAGUGAGCACUGUACACUUUGUAUUCUGUGUUGUAAUUGAAAUCAAUAUAUUUGAAAAUGUAGAAAACAUCCAAAAAUAUUUAAAUGGUAUUCUAUUAUUGUUUAACAGCACAAUUAAUCAUGCAAUUAAUUUUUUUAUUGUGUGAUUAAUUUUUUUUAAUCGCUUGACAGCCCUGCUUGGAAGAAAACAAAAUCAUCACUGAUAAAGUUUGCAGAUGAGACAAAAAUUGGGAGAGGAAUGAACAAUGACAAGGACAGGUCACUGACUUGGAGAGAGUGGGAUCACUAGGUAAACUAGAUGCAAGCAAACAAUGUGCAUUUUAAUACAGCUAAACGUAGAUGUAUACAUCUAGGAACAAAGAAUGCAGGCCACAGUUACAGGCUGGGGGACUCUAUCCUGGGAAUCAGUGACUCUGAAAAAGAUUUGGGGGCUGUCGUGGAUAAUCAGCUGAACAGGAGCACUCAAUGUGAUGCUGUGGCCAAAAGAGCUAAUGUAAUCCUGGGAUGCAUCAACUGGGGAAUCUAGAGUAAGACUAGAGAGGUUAUUUUACCUCUCUGCUUGGCAUUGGUGCAACCACUGCUGGAACACUGUGUCCAGUUCUGGAGUCCACAAUUCAAGAAGGAUGUUGAUAAAUUGCAGAGGGUUCAGAAAAGAGCCACGAGAACAAUUAAAGGAUCAGAAAACCUCCCUCAGAGUGAUAGACUCAAAGAACUCAAUCUUUUUAGUUUGACAAAGAAGAGGUGACUGGAUCACAGUCUACAAGUAUAUACAUGAGAAACAGAUAUUUAAUAUGUGCUCUUCAGACUAGCACAGAAAGGUCUAACACAAUUCAGUGGCUAGAGACUGAAGCUGGACAAAUUCAGACUGGAAAUAAAGCAUAAAUUUUAACAGUGAGAAUAAUUCAUCCUUGGAAUAAUUUAUCAAGUGUCAUUGUGGAUUCCGCAUUGCUGACCAUUUUAAAAUCAAGAUUGGAUGUUUUUUCUAAGAAAUCUGCUCUAGGAAUUAUUUUGGGGCAGGUCCCUGGCCUGUGUUAUACAGGAGGUCAGACUAGAUGAUCACAAUGGUCCUUUGGACCUUGGAAUCAAUUAAUCUGACCUUCUGCAUAAUCCUGGUUAUAGACAUUCAUCCACUGAUUCCUGUAGUGGAUAGACUUAUUCUUUCCAACUAUGUAAGUCAACCCUAACAAGCUCAAUAAUUUUGGGGCAUUUAAAACAUACCAGGCCAAAUUCAGCCCAGGUGAAGAAUGCACCAAUGUACUUGACUUAUGAGCCAAAUCCUGAAGUCAACAGAGUCACUAGGGAUUUACACUGGUGUAACUGAACACAGAAUUUGGCCCUUUGCAACCAUCGACUUCAGUGUGGCUGCACUAGAACUGGGAGAAAUUUUUUGGUCGAAUAGUAAAUUCACCAGAAAAAUGCAGCUUUGUGGUGACCAAACUAUUUAAAUCUUGAUUUAAAGACUUCAAUUUACAGAGAACCCACCAUUUACUCUAGUUCAAACCAGCAAGUGACCCUGACCCCACGCUUCAGAGGAAGCAAAACCCCUCCAGGGUCUCUGCCAAUCUGACCCCAGGGGAAAAUUCCUUCCUGACCCCAAAUACAGCAACCUGUUAGACACUGGGCAUGUAGGUGAGACCUGUUAGGAGAAUGUGAAAUAAAUAGGGUAGAGACUAAACAAUAAUCUUGCUUCUGGCCUUGCUUUUAGUUUAAACCGGCUGAAUAAGCAAGCAAGAAAAUAUAAGUGAAAGUACAAGGCUGCACUCCCCCCUCCCACCGCAAGUGGGUAGCCUUGCCUUUCAGUAACAAGAGAAGAUAAGGGGCUAAUCAAGCAGUGGGAGGGUAUAAAAAGGAGACGCAAAGUCUGCAAGAAAGUGACCAUGGCCAAAAGAAACCCUGCUCCUUACCCCUCCCAUCAGGUACAAAAGAGGUAGUCUCAUCCCCCCUAGACUCAAGACCUCCCAGAACAGAACAGACCAUAUAUUGGAAGGGGUGGUACCAGGGGAGGGGAACUAAAAAUAUAAUUAAGUUUGCCAAG